rnacentral:lncRNA from 1 species
AGGUCCAUCAUGUAGUCACUUGUAAAUGAACUUUGACCCAGCAGAGAUGGAAGGGUCAUCUGUAUCAAACAAGUCACAAAAUAAUCAAGAAAACCGUAUGAUUAUUCUGCCCAAGCAGUUGGAGGAUAUACCAAUUGCAUCAGAAUUUCCAUCAGUGAGGCAUCGGUGGAACACCAAUGAGGAAAUUGCUUCCAUUUUGAUUGCUUUUGAUAAACACAAAGAAUGGCAACUAAGAGAGCUACGAGUCAG